AGCUUUGCGCAGUGGCGGUAUCAUAGCCAGUGAGGUUUAUCCAAGGCGCAAUUAUUGCUAAUUGAAAACUUUUCCCAAUACCUCGCCAUGAUGACUUGAAAUAUAGUCAGCAUUGGCAAUUUUUGACAGUCUCUACGGAGA
rnacentral:snRNA from 1 species